GGCCGGGUGGUGUAGUUGGUUAUCACGUUUCGUUAACACCGAAAAGGUCCUGGGAUCGAACCCCAGCUUGGUCA
rnacentral:tRNA from 1 species